UACGUAGGGUGCGAGCGUUGUCCGGAAUUAUUGGGCGUAAAGAGCUCGUAGGCGGCCUGUCGCGUCGGAUGUGAAAGCCCGGGGCUUAACCCCGGGUCUGCAUUCGAUACGGGCAGGCUAGAGUUCGGUAGGGGGAGAUCGGAAUUCCUGGUGUAGCGGUGAAAUGCGCAGAUAUCAGGAGGAACACCGGUGGCGAAGGCGGAUCUCUGGGCCUGUUCUGACGCUGAGGCGCGAAAGCUAGGGGAGCGAACAGG
rnacentral:rRNA from 1 species